CUCAACCAGAUCUUGCUGUCGUCAGCUGGCUGGUAUUCAGACUGUCUCUUCUUUUAGUCAGGAUGUUCCUUCCUUCCCGGCCCCUCUCUCCAUCUGUUGACCUUCAAGAUCCAGAGCAAAUGCCUUCUCCCUAAAGGACAGGAAUCUCUAAAGAGUGAGAGGAAACCUGAUGACAGGCACUGCCCAAAGAAGAUGGAACUGUCAUAGUUGUUUUUGUUUAGGAUCUACUUACCCCCCUGAGAACAUAAGCUUGAUGAAGUCAAGGACCGUUUCUUAUCACUGUUGAAUUCCAGUUCCUGGUACAGUGCCUGGCACAUAGUGGAUGGUCAAUGGAUUUAUGAAUGAAUGAACAAAUUAACAAACGACCGUGGGAUGUGUGAAGAGCGGUGAGAAGACUGGACUCUUUGGAAAGAAGUGUCUUUCCUUGAGGAGUAGAGGAAUCUCCGGUCCUCCAAGAGACUGGCAGAGGAACAAGUAAAUGGGCCUGCAUGGGAUUCAAAACACAGGCAAGUGGAACCAGCUGAACAAGGUAUGAUGAUUGCCAAGGUGGACCCUGUGUAGAUUGCAAUAGGGCACUUGAAUCUGAAAUUAAAUUAAAGCACAAACAAAGGAAAAUUGAUCUGCAUAGCCUCCUGGACUCUACUUGGUCAGCCGACAGUUAGACUUAAAAAAAAAAAAAAGAUUUGUUCAGUUCUACCCUUCCCUUGCUAAGAAUACAGUAAAAUGUUAAUGUGAUCACAAUACUUUUAUUAACACCUACCAUGAUUGUAUUCACUCUUUAAGCAGAUAGGCUCAUUUUUAUCUCAUAUUGAACCAGUUGUUGACCAAAAAAAUGGUUUGUUUUAUUUUGUUUUUACAUAAACUGUUGUUUUGUAGGUCUUUCCGUCCUAUGCUCGUAAAUUGAUUAUUGGACCUAAAUGUAGUGCUUUACAUUCCUGGCACAUCCUCUCUUAUUGAUUUUAGACCAUCUUUCACCUGAUGGAAUUCAUUUUAAACCUCGAUCCUAUCAUCAAUCAUAGUAGUUGCUCCUCUUAGCUUGGGGUAAUCCAUAUAUAUGAUCUGCAAAUCCCCAAAGAUUUGGAUGCCUAGAGAUCCUUUGGAGAGUUUUAAGGGGCAAGGAGUGUUUACCAGCUGAUAUACCACCAGCCACAUGCAAAAAAGAAAUGACAUUUGGCUCUAGGAUGACAUUAGGCUCAUGAGUACGUGGGGCAAAACUUGAGGGUAGUUGGAAAGGAGAAACUGUUGGAAUUCCAAGUUAAAGCAAGCCAAGGUCAGAAUCUCCAGUUUAAGCAACCCAGAAAGUUUUCUUCUAGGAAGCAACAUUUUAGGUGCAGAAAGGGGAAGAGUAGCUCGACAAGUUUUGAGGCAGACAGCAAGGGGGAAAGGGCAUGUUGCUCAGUUUAUUUAUAUAUUUAUUUUUAUUUAUUUAUUUUGGACUGUGUUGGGUCUUCACUGCUGCAUGCGGGCUUUCUCUAGUUGCGGCGAGCGGGGGCUACUCUUCGUUGCGGUGCGCGGGCUUCUCAUUGCGGUGGCUUCUCUUGUUGCGGAGCACGGGCUCUAGGCUCGUGAGCUUCAGUAGUUGUGGCACGCAGACUCUAGAACGCAGGCUCAGUAGUUGUGGUGCACGGGCUUAGUUGCUCCACGGCAUGUGGGAUCUUCCCUGACCAGGGCUCAAACCCGUGUCCCUUGCAUUGGCAGGAGAAUUCUUAACCACCGCGCCACCAGGGAAGUCCCACGUUGCUCAGUUUAGAAGCAAAACUAGGGGUGAGAGAAGGAU